rnacentral:rRNA from 1 species
UACGGAGGGUGCAAGCGUUGUUCGGAAUUAUUGGGCGUAAAGCGCGUGUAGGCGGUCGAUUAAGUCUGAUGUGAAAGCCCAGGGCUUAACCCUGGAAGUGCAUUGGAUACUGGUCGACUAGAGGACGAGAGAGGAAAGUGGAAUUAAUGGUGUAGGGGUGAAAUCCGUAGAUAUCAUUAGGAACAUCUGUGGCGAAGGCGGCUUUCUGGCUCGUUUCUGACGCUGAGACGCGAAAGCGUGGGGAGCAAACAGG